rnacentral:rRNA from 1 species
GACGAACGCUGGCGGUGUGCCUAACACAUGCAAGUCGAACGGCAAGGCCCUGCUUUUUUGGGCUUCCCGAGUGGCGAACGCGUGAGUAACACGUGAGUAACCUGCUCUUCAUUUUGGGAUAACUUCAGGUAACUGGGGUUAAGAUCGGACAGGAUCUCCCGCUGCAUGGUGGGGGUUGGAAAGUUGCGGCGGGCGGGGAUGGAUUCGCGGCUUAUCAGCUUGCUGGUGGGGUAGUGGCUUACCCAGGCUUUGACGGAUAGCCGGCCUGAGAGGGUGACCGGCCACAUUGGGACUGAGGUACGGCCCAGACUCCUACGGGAGGCAGCAGUGGGAAAUAUUGCACAAUGGGCGCAAGCCUGAUGCAGCAGCGCCGCGUGCGGGAUGACGGCCUUCGGGUUAUAAACCGCUUUCGCCUGUGACGACGCGUGAGUGACGGUAAUGAGUAAAGAAGCACCGGCUAACUACGUG